rnacentral:rRNA from 1 species
AUGCAGAACGAGGUGGGUGACAUGGUGGACCUCUACGUCCCCAGGAAGUGCUCGGCCACCAACAGGAUCAUCACGGCCAAGGACCACGCCUCUGUCCAGAUCAUCAUUGGUCUCAUUGAUGAGAAUGGCCUCUAUGAUGGCCGCUUCACCACCUUUGCUCUCUCUGGGUUUGUCCGUGCUCAGGUAAUCAUCUUUCUUGUGUAUUGA